rnacentral:tRNA from 1 species
AAAGAGUUAGUUUAAAAAAAAUAUGAGAUUGUCGUUUUCAUGAUGCUUGUUUAAGUACUUUUUA